CUCCCUCUCCCUCUCCCUCUCCCUCUCCCUCUCACUCUCCCUCUCACUCUCCCCACGGUCUCCCUCUCAUGCGGAGCCGAAGCUGGACUGUACUGCUGCCAUCUCGGCUCACUGCAACCUCCGUGCCUGAUUCUCCUGCCUCAGCCUGCCGAGUGCCUGCGAUUGCAGGCACGCGCCGCCACACCUGACUGGUCUUGGUGGAGACGGGGUUUCGCUGUGUUGGCCGGGCCGGUCUCCAGCCCCUAACCGCGAGUGAUCCGCCAGCCUUGGCCUCCCGAGGUGCCAGGAUUGCAGACGGAGUCUCGUUCACUCAGUGCUCAAUGGUGCCCAGACUGGAGUGCAGUGGCGUGAUCGCGGCUCGCUACAACCUACACCUCCCAGCCGCCUGCCUUGGCCUCCCACGGUGCCGAGAUUGCAGCCUCUGCCCGGCCGCCACCCCGUCUGGGAAGUGAGGAGCGUCUCUGCCUGGCCGCCCAUCGUCUGGGAUGUGAGGAGCCUCUCUGCCUGGCUGCCCAGUCUGGAAAGUGAGGAGCGUCUGCGCCCGGCAGCCAUCCCAUCUAGGAAGUGAGGAGCGCCUCUUCCCAGCCGCCAUCACAUCUAGGAAGUGAGGAGCGUCUCUGCCCGGCUGCCCAUCGUCUGAGAUGUGGGGAGCGCCUCUGCCCCGCCGCCCCAUCUGGGAUGUGAGGAGUGCCUCUGCCCGGCCGAGACCCCGUCUGGGAGGUGAGGAGCGUCUCUGCCCAGCCGCCCCGUCUGAGAAGUGAGGAGACCCUCUGCCUGGCAACCACCCCGUCUGAGAAGUGAGGAGGCCCUCCGCCCGGCAGCUGCCCCGUCUGAGAAGUGAGGAGCCUCUCCGCCCGGCAGCCACCCCAUCUGGGAAGUGAGGAGCGUCUCUGCCCGGCAGCCACCCCGUCCGGGAGGGAGGUGGGGGUGGUCAGCCCCUGCCUGGCCAGCUGCCCCAUCCGGGAGGGAGGUCGGGGGUCAGCCCCCCGCCCGGCCAGCCGCCCCGUCCGGGAGGUGAGGGGCACCUCUGCCCGGCCACCCCUACUGGGAAGUGAGGAGCCCCUCAGCCUGGCCAGCCGCCCCGUCCGGGAGGGAGGUGGGGGGGUCAGCCCUCCACCCGGCCAGCUGCCCCGUCUGGGAGGUGAGGGGCGCCUCUGCCCGGCUGCCCCUACUGGGAAGUGAGGAGCCCCUCUGCCCGGCCAGCCGCCCCGUCCGGGAGGGAGGUGGGGGGGUCAGCCCUCCGCCCGGCCAGCUGCCCCGUCUGGGAGGUGAGGGGCGCCUCUGCCCGGCUGCCCCUACUGGGAAGUGAGGAGCCCCUUUGCCCGGCCAGCUGCCCAGUCUGGGAGGGAGGUGGGGGGGUCAGCCCCCUGCCCGGCCAGCUGCCCCGUCUGGGAGGUGAGGGGUGCCUCUGCCCGGCCGCCCCUAUUGGGAAGUGAGGAGCCCCUCUGCCCGGCCAGCCGCCCCGUCCAGGAGGGAGGUGGGGGGGGUCAGCCCCCCCCGCCCGGCCAGCCGCCCCGUCCGGGAGGUGAGGGGUGCCUCUGCCCGGCCGCCCCUACUGGGAAGUGAGGAGCCCCCCUGCCUGGCCACCACCCCGUCUGGGAGGUGUGCCCAACAGCUCAUUGAGAACGGGCCAGGAUGACAAUGGCGGCUUUGUGGAAUAGAAAGGCGGGAAAGGUGGGGAAAAGAUUGAGAAAUCGGAUGGUUGCCGUGUCUGUGUAGAAAGAAGUAGACAUGGGAGACUUUUCAUUUUGUUCUGCACUAAGAAAAAUUCUUCUGCCUUGGGAUCCUGUUGAUCUGUGACCUUACCCCCAACCCUGUGCUCUCUGAAACAUGUGCUGUGUCCACUCAGGGUUAAAUGGAUUAAGGGCGGUGCAAGAUGUGCUUUGUUAAACAGAUGCUUGAAGGCAGCAUGCUCGUUAAGAGUCAUCACCAAUCCCUAAUCUCAAGUAAUCAGGGACACAAACACUGCGGAAGGCCGCAGGGUCCUCUGCCUAGGAAAACCAGAGACCUUUGUUCACUUGUUUAUCUGCUGACCUUCCCUCCACUAUUGUCCCAUGACCCUGCCAAAUCCCCCUCUGUGAGAAACACCC
rnacentral:lncRNA from 10 species